rnacentral:lncRNA from 1 species
GCGGGUCAGAGCGCAUCUACACGUACGCCCGGCCUCCUCUUCAACUGACGCGAGUAUAACUAGCCACCCAUAGCGUGGACGCGGAAACUUUCCAAGGUGCGCAACGGCCUCUGCCCCGAUCCCGGAGCAGAGCAACAGAUAGAACCCUUCCUUCCUCUCGCGAGAUCGACCGACGCCGGUAAGAUGCUGCCGUACGCGACGGCCGGCGAGGCGGAGGCGGCGCUCGGCCGCGCCCUGACGUGGGCGGAGGCCGCGUGGCUCCGCUACUCGGCGUCGGUGCCGGACCGCUACCUCCACUGGCCCAACAUCGCCAUCACAUUGGUCGUCUACACGCUGGCGCCGCUGCCCCUCGCCCUCUUCGACCUCGCCGCGCCGGCCGCCGCCGCACCGUACAAGCUGCAGCCCAAG